rnacentral:lncRNA from 1 species
AUAGAUGUUUCUGCAGUCUAUGCUUCUUUGCUCAGUUUUUGGCAGAUAUCUUUUGCAUCCUGGCACUCAGUUGGCACUUUAGGGCAAAGCACAGGCAGGUCCUAGGGAGAAGUGAACGCUAGUGAAUGUGGCUGGAGGAAUAUAAUAACAGGUUUCUUUCUCUUGGGACAAUGGGGGACAAUUGCUUACUUUUAUGUAUUUCAUUAUUGAAAGCAGUGUCUGAUACAAGUCAGACAUUUAAGGUGACAUUUCCAGUGAUUCCAUUUUGUAAUGGUGCUGGAUUGUGUGCUGCCUAGACACGAGCUACUGUGCUAGAUAAGCCACUGGUUUCAGAGUGGCAAUUCUACUUAAACACUAGGAAGCAGCUCACUGCGUAAAUGAGGCUGCAGCUAAAUGACGAAUUGAUGAGGAAAAUUUCAGUGCCAUUUAAAAACAGCAAGAUUAGUAAGAAACUAAUUUCCAUUGACUGUUUCAGUCCCAGCAAUUUCAAAUUGACCAAAAACUGCUAAUCCUAUUAGACAAUAAACUUGUGAUGUCCUAACGUGGGUAGGUAGUCAUGUGGAAACAGUAUUACACACAGUACCAGGAUCUUCAAACCUUACUUUGUUUUAGGAAUUGUGCUUGAUGGCCUACAGUUUGCUGUACUCGGUCAGAAAUUACACAAUGAAAUCACGUGGCUUCCCCAGCAAAUGCUAAAUAUGUAUUUAGAAAAAUGCUUGACACUGAUAAUAAGAGCUCCACAAAACCAUCUCCCUUACUACCCAGAGAGUACCUGCUUGUAUCUGCUCUUUUUGCACUUUCUCUGAUAUGAUGGGACCACAGUCUUUGUAUAGGACUUAGACUCUCCCCUCUACAAAUGUGUGCUCCCAGCAAGGAAGAAGACCCCACAGCCAAUGUUCCGACAGCCUAGAUUUCUGAUGCUUCUCCAGGCUGGUCCCUUUUAAGAAGUAUUUAUGUUGUGUGAGUAAAAUGGUUAGCAGUGCCACAGGAAUUUAUUCUGGGUAUGCCUCAUGUUAAAAUGUUGCCAUUUCUCCCUCCUUUGCCUUGCCUUUUGCGAGUGAUGGCAGAAGGCUGGUGAGAACUCGGUUCUGGCACCACCAGUAUGACUGACUGGCCAUUGGACUUGGAGGAGCAAAGAGAUGCCCAAUGGAACUCUUUCCCCUCCAAGGCAGCAAGAGGAACCGUUCAUAGUACUCCUUUUUAAUAGGAUCUGCUGCCAGUCGUAGACUAGGGAGCUGGCAAAGGGUGGUUAUACAGAUAGCAUGGUGGAAUCUGGCAGGAGUGGGCAGGGUUCACAUCCUUGAUCAACCAUGUGGCAUGACUGCAGUUAGAGAAGUAAGCUCCGUAAAAUGCAGUGUUGUGUACUCAUGACUUCAUAGGUUUAGCUUGUAAAACACAUUGAGCUUUAACAAAUAAUCUUCAGAAAGCUGAAAUGCAACAUUCUCCAGUGGUUCCAGGUUUGGAAGUCUUUACUUAUGAAAUCCUGGAAAGAUUUCCUGGAAGAAUUACUCCUUAGCAGCCUAUAUGGUUAACAGGCUUCUAGCACAGCUUGUUUCUGAUCUGUUGCCACACUAUUUGAAUUCAAUUUCAACAGGCUAUUUCACUUGCAAGACGGAGCAACACGCUUUCAGGAUGGGGCUUGGUGUGUUCAGGCCCCAAAGCCUGAAGGAAAGGAUGUUUCUGAGGAGAGGCUGCUUUCCACUCCUGAUGGAGCUUCAUGGGGCUUGACAGAAUUGUAACUCAGCCUGUGUACCAAAGCAAAAGAAGCUAGUUAGCCCCAUUGUUUGGAUACCUGUAUUCCCUCACUACAGUUGUUUCUUCACAGGAUGAGUUCUUUGCUUUUGGGUUUGGGAGGGAUCAGGAGAGAAAUGGGGUCCACCCAAGGUUCAGCACCUCUCAGCUGCCUAAACUCACAAGUGUGUUCAAAUUUUCCAUGUGGCACAGGGAACAGAGUUUCCACCCCAUCCCUGGUCCAUUGUCUUGCAGCAGUCAUAAAACAUCAUCCUGCAGCAACAACUAUAGCCCACAAUUGCCAAGAAAGACUGUGAUGGGGCUGGACACUGAAAAGUGUUCUCUGAGGCCUCUCCUGUUUUUCCACCCUUUUUACCUCAGGAAUAUUAGCAGCAGUGUGCUCGGGCCUGCCUUUUCCUUUCAGUGCCUCACAGAGGCAGAGCAGGCACACAGGGGAAGGAUAGUUCAUCUAGGCCUUGCUCCUUCUGAAGCAAGAAGGUCCCAAUUCCAUCUAUGCGCAUGAGACGAGUUGAAUAGCACCAGGCCUUUUUUUCCCCCAGCCAGAACUUGCUGGAACUCAGUUCUAGCACCUCUCAGGUGGGCGCCUUUGCUGUUAUAAGAGAACAAGUGAUUUCCGGCACCUCCUUUUCUAGAAAAAUAGCACUGAAUAGCAUUAAUGAGGACUAUUGUUUUUUGAGAAGAAUAAGCAAGCAAUAGAGCUGAUCAGAGUUAAUAUUUCAGGGGGGGACCCUCUGCAUACUAGUGAAGUAUGGGGAAAGGUCCCAGAAUUCUGGGAUUAAGUGUAAGAAUACAUUUGGGCCUCAAUAGUUCAAAAGCCAGAAUAAUUCCAACAACUAGCUACCUUCCUAAAAAGCUGGUGUGCCUCUUCUUUGGUAGCAUCUAGAGACCUUCUAAAAUUUCAUUGCUGUGUUACAUGAAGAGAAAUGGCAGUAGCUCUCCCCUUUUUUUCCUUACAAGGUUGAAGGGCAAAAGGGCUAGUUCUCAAGAUAUAAGAACAAAAUGGAGAUGGAGGAAGCCAUCUUCUCUCAGCAAGGUUAUUCCCCGCUCUCCCGCAAAGCAAGCCCAUUGCUGCCGAGAAACUGAAGCUUAAAGAAACCCACACCUAAACUAAAACCUCAACAUUUCUCUGAGGUUUCGUCUGACAUUUGACGGUGAGACAUUAUGUGGCAGCAGUUGGAGAAAGGAAGACAAGACUGCAGCACCACUUUAUUGCUAUCAGCUGGUUCUAAUUCUCAGCUGGCAACAAUUAAAACAUUUUCCAGAAACGUUUACCCUAAACAUACAUACGAGCAACACAAAUAAUUAUAUAUAUAUAUAUAGUUUUAUUUUACUAUUUUCUUUGAAUUAAGCACAGCUAAUUCCUUCCUAUACUGUGAUGCCCCCCAGAGACCACAACAUUAGAGAGUUGGUAAUAAAAUUGAAUUAGCCCUUUGUGUGGCAGUAUUGAUUUGAUGUUACUCUCCAAUCUAAAAGAGAGCCCAUGCUUCAAAAACUGAGGAGACAUUUUCAGAAGUCAUAUCCUAAGAAACAAUUUGCUCCCCAAAAUGAGCAAAUGCACUUAAGAAGUCUAGAUAAUCAAAUUAUGAUGAGCCUCAUCAGCUAAAAAUGACAUGGUAGGAGACUGCUCUAUAUCCCUUUUAAAUGGGAGGCUAAACGAGAAGCAGAGCAUUUACAAUUAGUCUUUCAAUUCUGGGCUGAUGAGUGUCUUGGGCUGGUCUCCCAACAAGUGAGCUGGAACCCAGUUGAAGUUGGAUUGCACCAGCAAUAUCUCCACCUUUUAAGCAUUUCGAAAGAAGGAAGUGGAAGAUAAGGGGGAAAGAGGAGAAAUGGAAGAAGGAUCGACAUACGGUUAUAAAAAAGGAUAAGUGGAUCCCAAGUUGCAGGAUGCAGCUAAAGGUGAGUCCUACAUCUGAAAAGUUUGAUGACUGUCCUGGAUGAUGUUCAACUUUUAUUGUUUUCCUUGCCAUCAAAGGAAAACAAAAGUAAAAUCUAUUUUUUCUUCAAGGCAUUUGAAAAUUAAGCCUGGACUGGAUUAUCACUUCAAAGUUAUAGGCUGAAGCCUUUAUACAUACCUACAUCAUUUUAUUUGUAU